UACAGAGGUCUCAAGCGUUAAUCGGAAUUACUGGGCUUAAAGGGUCCGCAGGCGGACCAGCAAGUACCUUGUGAAAUCUCAGGUCUCAACCCUGAGUCUGCUAGGUAGACUGCUGGUCUUGAGUGCAAAAGGGGUCGCUGGAACUCUAGGUGGAGCGGUGAAAUGCGUAGAUAUCUAGAGGAACGCCAAAGGUGAAGACAGGCGACUGGUUUGCAACUGACGCUGAGGCACGAAAGCGUGGGGAGCAAACAGG
rnacentral:rRNA from 1 species